GCAGUAGCCGCGGUAUACAGAGGGUGCGAGCGUUAAUCGGAUUUACUGGGCGUAAAGCGUGCGUAGGCGGCUUCUUAAGUCGGAUGUGAAAUCCCUGAGCUUAACUUAGGAAUUGCAUUCGAUACUGGGAAGCUAGAGUAUGGGAGAGUAUGGUAGAAUUCCAGGUGUAGCGGUGAAAUGCGUAGAGAUCUGGAGGAAUACCGAUGGCGAAGGCAGCCAUCUGGCCUAAUACUGACGCUGAGGUACGAAAGCAUGGGGAGCAAACAGGAUUAGAUACCCCAGUAGUCCCUGUCUCUUAUACA
rnacentral:rRNA from 1 species